UACGGAGGGUGCAAGCGUUAAUCGGAAUUAUUGGGCGUAAAGAGCUCGCAGGCGGCGUGUCGCGUCUGCUGUGAAAGUCCGGGGCUUAACUCCGGUUUGGCAGUGGAGACGGGCAUGCUUGAGGCAGGUAGGGGAGACUGGAAUUCCUGGUGUAGCGGUGAAAUGCGCAGAUAUCAGGAGGAACACCGGUGGCGAAGGCGGGUCUCUGGGCCUGACCUGACGCUGAGGAGCUAAAGCGUGGGUAGCGAACAGG
rnacentral:misc_RNA from 1 species